GCUGAACGCAUAGAGGAGCUGUUUCGCCUGUUCGGCCGAUGGAAUGAAAACAUUUAGCUGCGGAGUAUAUGAAAAACAUUUUAAAUGUGUGAUAUUAAUAACAAUUUGGAUAUGUCGCGACUUUUGAACUGAAUUGGAGAGAAAGGCGAGACGAGGACGGAUGGAAAAAUAAGUCUUGGAUUAUUAUUAAGUCGUUCCUUAAAUUCACUAAUUUUGUUUUUUUCCUUUAAAAAACAAUAAAUUAAGAAAAUAUAUUUCUGCGAUUUAAACUUCAGUUCUGACGGGGGAAAGUUUGAAAAUACUGUAAGUCAUGCUAACUUUGGUAUUUUACCGUAAAACAGACAACAGCAAAGAGUCGGGCACUCAGCCCAAUUAAUUUUUUUAUUCGCGUUAACUUUCUCAUUUCAGGUGAAGGUAUUUACAAUGGAAACGAAUUAAUUUGGUAACUUGGUCCACGUAAUACUUGUUCAGAACAGACAUUCCCCCUCCCCCUCUCGCUCUUCGCCGCGGUCUGCGCUAAAACCACGGGUCUGGCUUCUCACCCCGAAGAUGCGAUAGUGGGGCAGGGAGGAGGACAGUGUCCCGCUGAUUCGGCGGUUUCGGUUCAGUUUGGACCGAGACGGUCGAAGGUGAGGCCUGCGGGUCAGGCUUUCACCGGGCUAGAGUUGGUGCGCCUCGCCGGGUUCGGGAGCGCAAGGGUCGGCGAGAGGGCUUGAGUCGAGCCCGGAGGCCCAUCUAGACGGGAUGGAACGGAUGGAGGUAGACCAGUGCGCAGGCGCAGCUGCUGGCAGUGGAGGCGGGGCUCUGCGACGGUCCAACAGCGCCCCCAUGAUCACUGGCGUCAGUGACGGGAUGGCGGUGUUCAGUUCUGGCAGUACGGCCCGUUAUCGGAGGAGCAGUGUGUCUGUCAAUCUCGGUUGCCCAGGACUGGCCCUCCCCCUUUCGCCGUUUCCGCUGGUCUGCGGAUUGCUGGAGCACUCGAAGCAGCGUGUCUCUCUGUCCCAGGACGAAUGUAUGGAGCCGAACCCCAGAGGAGCCAUACACAGACAGAGUGUUGGUCCUCCACCCCCGGAAUGUCCCUGGGAGGACCACAGGAUCCUGGGCCUCCACUCUCUUGACAGUGGUAUCACACCCAAUUCCUCCCCCAGCCCAACAAGAAGAUUCAAAAACAGGGGGAGUGUCAGUCCAGCAGUGCGAUGGCCCGUCCUCACUCCACUUAAGAGGAAAGGUGGAGUGGAAUCAGAUGGCCCGCCCAAGAAGCUGUUUGUCACAGGAGUGACCGACCCCCCUCAUCUAACUGGGUACACCGUCAGUGUUGCGCCAGCUGGCUCUUCACCAGUGGGGAUGUCCGGCUGUGUGCCUCCCCAGGGAAGCCCACUCUCUCUUGCCAUCAGUGUGCCCACCCCCCCUUCGUUCACCCCGCAGCACCCCGGGAUGUAGCCAGUCGGUGCCGGGGAGAAGACGCUAGCCCAACCCAACAGAGACCAGAAUGAAGAGCACACUUGCCGAUGGCCACUCAGAGAACCUCAAGAGGGGCAGCAGCCAAUUAGAAGAAAGCAGCCUGGAAACCUGUCCAGUCCGGCUGAAAGAAGCUUAACUAACCGACUCCACCCACUCAGAUGCACAGUCUGGCUUUGUAGCCUAACAGAGCUGAUAGGAUAUGUGCUAAGCCAGUUAUAGAACAGAAAAGAUGGAAGCACAGCCGAUCACUGGAUGAUGGACAGGUGGGCGAGAGAGUGGCCCCACAGAGAACAGAUGAGGAGACAUUUACCCAUUCAAACAGCAAGACUGGUCUGGAGGUGGGGGCAUCCUAGCCGGACUUAUAGCCAAAGAAUUAGCAACAGAGAGCGUGCAUUGAAACCGGAUCAUCUAGAAUUGUGCAUCACAUACCUUCACACCUGUGUUUCCCUUUUAUAAGAAAAUGACACAAUUCGGUUUUGCCACUUUUUCAGAAUGCUAAUUUAUGAUGCCAUGCCGCCUAAACUUUAAUAUUUUGUUGUAGUUUACAGUUUUAUUUUCCAAGUGGUGUAAACCCAUCUUGGAAGAAAAUGCUUUAGCAAUAUGCAGUGAAAGACUUAAGUGGCACUACGUGAGAGAGUGAGUGGAAAGACAAGAAAUGACCACAUCAGAACAACUACUGGCUUUUCCAAAUCUGGGCUUAGAUGUAACUUGUGCAAAAGCUGAAAAUUGACAUUUAUCUCUAUAUUUAAUUCUGUAUAAGAAUAAAAGUCAUAAAUUGUGGCAGAGAAACUAGUAAUAGGACCUCAAGUGGGUACACAGUGAAUUUGGACAAAGUAAUCUGCUGGAAGCCAAGAGGAAGCUACUUUGUCAUUAAAAGAAGGUGGAAUUUCCUUUGGUAUUGGGCUUCAAGCCAAUCUUUUUAGUGUCAAAAAUUGUAAAAAUAAGGGUAAAUAUACAAGUGGUUCUUUCUGCAGCCCUUGGAAGCAGCACUUUCAGUUUGAGCCAAUCAACCUAAGGCUAAUCCUGCCAAGCACAUUAUGCGUGUAACAAUAUAAGUAACGUUGCUUUUGACAAACUCAAACGCAGUAUAUAGAUAACACAGACAAUAAAAGACACAGAUGUACACGCAGUCUAAUGCACAGUUUAAUAUUAUACUCCCAACACAGUGAAACGUUAGGCUUAAAGUCAGGCUUAGUUCCAGCCUGGGCUUUGUGCUCAGCGGCAGGGAUUCUCCAAGCUGCAGCCUUGUGCACAGCUGAGCUCCACAGAGGCGUGGCAGACUGUAGCCGACCAGGGCAUUCCUCAGCUUUGCAGGCAACAUCACCCUCAGUAUGGCAGGGCCGAGUCACCGUGCUGAUGAGAACUGCACUGGGUGGCAGGGGGUGUGAGACUAAGCUCGAGGAAAUUCUAAAACUUCUGUAAGAUUUUGGGUCCAGAAACUCCUUAUGUAUUCUUGAAGAGGUAUCCUGCAGGCCUCAUGUGGACAAAGGAAUUUUGGCUGGAAAAUCCUGCAGCAUUUUUGAAGUUUGUGUGUGUGUGUGUAGAGAUCUUAUCGCAUGAGCAGUGAGAAGGAGAGACGGGGGUGGUGAGAAUAGACAGAGGACAGUAAGAGAGGUGACACUGAGGGAGGCGACAGGAGAAGAGAAGCAGUAAGCGGAGACAGGCGAGCUGAGAGAAGACAUAGUGAAACAGGCAACAGCAAGACGGGAGACAGGACAUGCAGCAAGAGUUCGCAGAUGACUGCCUUCCAAGGUUACAUUCACUGUUUGGAACUUGUAUAUAGUAAUUGUGAAAAAUAAAGUAUUUUUAUGGACUUGUAAGAUGCAAACAACAAAAACUAUAUUCAUUCCUCUGAGUAUUUCAUGCUUGUACAAUUAACGCCAAGUGUCUCAUGUUUCUGUGAAAAAAUAUACCUUUUAAAUAUAUGAAUAAAAAUCAUCGUAUUGUAUCUGCUACUGACUACUAUAUGUAUAUGGCUACUUUAGGUUUAGUCAAAUUGAAAGUACCCAAUACAGGGCCUUGAAAACGUAUUCAGCCCCCAUCCUGUUUUUCACACUUAAGAAUAAAAGCCUAGA
rnacentral:lncRNA from 1 species